GCGGCAAAUAAAAUUGACGGAGCAAGGAUUAAACCAGAAAACGGAAGUCCGAAGAGCUGUGAAUGUCAAACUUCUCUUUUUAUUUAGACAAUCUGAAGUUUGCUUAAAAAAAUUUUUUUCUCAUCGUGUAUUUUGUUUCGGGGUUCCAACUAAAAAUUCGCUCGAAGCAGCACAACAUUUCUGAUCAGAACAAACGUGUUCAAUCAAACACAGUCCUGCGGAAAUGAGACGAAAGUGUCAGCUAAAGGAAAAGGCAAAGGCAUGGCCAAAGAGGAGCUGAAAGGACCAGAGGUGUGCAAAGACCCGGUCAGACUUGCCUCACAUGCAGUUGGUGUCAACAUCUUCAAUCAAGGAGAAGAUCCCAAAAUAAAACCGGCCGAGGAAUUUCCUGAGUGA
rnacentral:lncRNA from 1 species